GACGAACGCUGGCGGCGUGCUUAACACAUGCAAGUCGAACGGAAAGGCCCUGCUUUUGUGGGGUGCUCGAGUGGCGAACGGGUGAGUAACACGUGAGUAACCUGCCCUUGACUUUGGGAUAACUUCAGGAAACUGGGGCUAAUACCGGAUAGGAGCUCCUGCUGCAUGGUGGGGGUUGGAAAGUUUCGGCGGUUGGGGAUGGACUCGCGGCUUAUCAGCUUGUUGGUGUGGUAGUGGCUUACCAAGGCUUUGACGGGUAGCCGGCCUGAGAGGGUGACCGGGCACAUGGGGACUGAGAUACGGCCCAGACGCCUACGGGAGGCAGCAGGGGGGAAUAUUGCAGAAUGGGCGGAAGCCUGAUGCAGAAACGCCGCGUGCGGGAUGACGGCCUACGGGUUGUAAACCGAUUUGGACGGUGACGAAGAGUGAGUGACGGUAAUGGGUAAAGAAGCAACGGCUAACUACGUG
rnacentral:rRNA from 1 species